rnacentral:rRNA from 1 species
CCUACGGGAGGCAGCAGUGAGGAAUAUUGGUCAAUGGCCGCAGGGCUGAACCAGCCAAGUCGCGUGAGGGAUGACGGUCCUAUGGAUUGUAAACCUCUUUUGUCAGGGAGCAAAGGGCGCCACGUGUGGCGUUUUGCGAGUACCUGAAGAAAAAGCAUCGGCUAACUCCGUGCCAGCAGCCGCGGUAAUACGGAGGAUCCAAGCGUUAUCCGGAUUUAUUGGGUUUAAAGGGUGCGUAGGCGGAUUGAUAAGUUAGAGGUGAAAUGUCCGAGCUUAACUCGGGAACUGCCUCUAAUACUGUUGAUCUAGAGAGUAGAUGCGGUAGGCGGAAUGUAUGGUGUAGCGGUGAAAUGCUUAGAUAUCACGAAGAACUCCGAUUGCGAAGGCAGCUUACUAAACUGCCACUGACAUUGAUGCUCGAAAGUGUGGGUAUCAAACAGGAUUAGAUACCCCUGUAGUC